GACGAACGCUGGCGGCGUGCUUAACACAUGCAAGUCGAACGAUGAAGCUGGAGCUUGCUCCGGUGGAUUAGUGGCGAACGGGUGAGUAACACGUGAGAAAUCUGCCCUUGACUCUGGGAUAACUGCGGGAAACUGUAGCUAAUAUCGGAUACGAGACCUGAAGGCAUCUUCGGGUCUGGAAAGAAUUUCGGUCAAGGAGGAGCUCGCGGCCUAUCAGCUUGUUGGUGAGGUAAUGGCUCACCAAGGCGACGACGGGUAGCCGGCCUGAGAGGGUGACCGGCCACACUGGGACUGAGACACGGCCCAGACUCCUACGGGAGGCAGCAGUGGGGAAUAUUGCACAAUGGGCGAAAGCCUGAUGCAGCAACGCCGCGUGAGGGAUGAAGGCCUUCGGGUUGUAAACCUCUUUUAGCAGGGAAGAAGCGAAAGUGACGGUACCUGCAGAAAAAGCACCGGCUAACUACGUGCCAGCCGCCGCAGUAA
rnacentral:rRNA from 1 species